GACGAACGCUGGCGGCGUGCUUAACACAUGCAAGUCGAACGGAAAGGCCCUGCUUUUGUGGGGUGCUCGAGUGGCGAACGGGUGAGUAACACGUGAGUAACCUGACCUUGACUUUGGGAUAACUUCAGGAAACUGGGGCUAAUACAGGAUAGGAGAUCAUGUUGCAUGGUGGGGGUUGGAAAGUUUCGGCGGUUGGGGAUGGAUUCGCGGCUUAUCAGCUUGUUGGUGGGGUAGUGGCUUACCAAGGCUUUGAAGGGUAGCCCGCCUGAGAGGGUGACCGGCCACAUGAGGACUGAGGUACGGCCCAGACUCCUACGGUAGGCAGUAGUGGGGAAUAUUGCACAAUGGGCGGGAGCCUGAUGCAGCAACGCCGCGUGCGGGAUGACGUCCUGCGGGUUGUAAACCGCAUUCGCCCGUUACGAAGCGUGAGUGACGGUAAUGGAUAAAGAAGCACCGGCUAACUACGUG
rnacentral:rRNA from 1 species